UGAUGGAGUGCUUGCACUCCUGAUGGUUAGCGGCGGACGGGUGAGUAACACGUAGGUAACCUGCCCAUAAGACUGGGAUAACCCACGGAAACGUGAGCUAAUACCAGAUAGGCAUUUUCCUCGCAUGAGGGGAAUGAGAAAGGCGGAGCAAUCUGUCACUUAUGGAUGGACCUGCGGCGCAUUAGCUAGUUGGUGAGGUAACGGCUCACCAAGGCGACGAUGCGUAGCCGACCUGAGAGGGUGAUCGGCCACACUGGGACUGAGACACGGCCCAGACUCCUACGGGAGGCAGCAGUAGGGAAUCUUCCGCAAUGGACGAAAGUCUGACGGAGCAACGCCGCGUGAGUGAUGAAGGUUUUCGGAUCGUAAAGCUCUGUUGCCAGGGAAGAACGCCUAGGAGAGUAACUGCUCUUAGGGUGACGGUACCUGAGAAGAAAGCCCCGGCUAACUACGUGCCAGCAGCCGCGGUAAUACGUAGGGGGCGAGCGUUGUCCGGAAUUAUUGGGCGUAAAGCGCGCGCAGGCGGCAAUGUAAGUUGGGUGUUUAAACCUAGGGCUCAACCUUGGGUCGCAUCCAAAACUGCAUAGCUUGAGUACAGAAGAGGAAAGUGGAAUUCCACGUGUAGCGGUGAAAUGCGUAGAGAUGUGGAGGAACACCAGUGGCGAAGGCGACUUUCUGGGCUGUAACUGACGCUG
rnacentral:rRNA from 1 species